rnacentral:rRNA from 1 species
AUUGAACGCUAGCGGGAUGCUUUACACAUGCAAGUCGAACGGCAGCGCGGACUUCGGUCUGGCGGCGAGUGGCGAACGGGUGAGUAAUGUAUCGGAACGUGCCCAGUAGCGGGGGAUAACUACGCGAAAUCGUAGCUAAUACCGCAUACGCCCUACGGGGGAAAGCAGGGGAUCGUAAGACCUUGCACUAUUGGAGCGGCCGAUAUCGGCUUAGCUAGUUGGUGAGGUAACGGCUCACCAAGGCGACGAUCCGUAGCUGGUUUGAGAGGACGACCAGCCACGCUGGGACUGGGGCACGGCCCAGAAUCCUGCGGGAGGGAGAAGGGGGGAAUUUUGGAGGAAGGGGGCAACCCUGAUCCAGCCAUCCCGCGUGUGAGAUGAAGGCCUUCGGGUUGUAAAGCACUUUUGGCAGGAAAGAAACGUAGCGGGCUAAUACCCCGUGGAACUGACGGUACCUGCAGAAUAAGCACCGGCUAACUACGUG